rnacentral:tRNA from 1 species
GGGCGCGUAGUUCAGUUGAUUAGAACGCCUGCUUGUCACGCCCGAGGCGGCAGGUCGCGGGACACCGCCGCGACUU